CUAUGCUGAAUCUGAAAAAAAAUCAGUAUAAUAAUAAAUGCAAAAACUUACUAGAAGCUGAAAAACUGUUUAAACCUAUUUUUGAGCCAGUAAAUUUGGAAUCUGUAGAAUUGUCUGUAGCUAAGCUUGGAUGUUCAAAUCAGACAUUAGAGUUUGUUGCUCUAAAUAGUUUAAUUUAUUAUAAUUUUGCCGAACGUCUAGGACUUGACCUAUUUAGUAAAAAGGAUAAAAGCGGUGUUGUGAUUGUACAUCAAAAGUUGAGAGUCACUAUGUGAUGAAAAAUGCUGUAACGAGUACAAAUAUAAGAAGGUUUAUUAGGAACUUUACAAAUAAUACGUUAAUACGUUCCACA